GAAAACCUGCAUACACUGUCCUCUAUGACACAUGAUGAUUGGGCACCAAUGUUCUAAUGUAAAAAAGUAAAAAAAAAUUUAAAAGUCGUUUGUUUCAUUUGCAGUGCAUUUAUCUAUAGCCUGUAGCGGACACAAGAGGGCAGCACGUGGAUGGUUGCACUGAUGAAAAUUAACGGGACCGAUAGUGGCUAGGAGUCCGAAAUUACCACAAAAUCAACAUUACGUUACUGGCAUUUAGCAGCCGCUCUUAUCCAGAGCGACUUACACAGCUUUAUACAUAGCUUCCAUUUAUACAGCUGGAUAUACACUGUUUUGGCGGCACGAGGGGGACCUACACAAUAUUAGCUCAUUCAUCCAGACUGCCAAAAUCUGCCAAAAAUUUGGGGCGGGGCGGUGACGCCUGCAGGGUGGGCGGGAACAUCUCCACUCGCAGUUUCCAUUUCUGCGGGUGACGAGCUGAAGUGACCAAAAGAUCUGGAGCUCACUGCGGAGACACUCAGCUGGAGAUAUCAGACCUCCCCGCGGGCCACCGCGCAGACAGGAACACUACAGAAGUGACCCCGGAGAUCUGGAGCUCCCCACGGAGACGUCGGCUCAAGAUAUCGCUCUCCUCCCAGCCUCGUGCAGACAGGAAGGAACACCACAG